GAAUGUGAUGCACCAGUAUCAAACAAAACAUGAGCAAUGUGGCCAGAGAUAGUAUACAUACCAUGUACCACGUACGGGUCUGCGUCGGCAUCCUUAUGGGUAAGGUUGUAAACUCUGCCCUGGAUUGGAGGCCUUCCUUGAUUCUGGUUCCUAGGGCAUUCCCUUACAUAGUGCUGGGCACUGCCGCAUAUGCGACAGGUGUUGUUGAGGCGGUGGCAGGGUCGGUCCCCGUGAUCCCUACCGUAGUACUGGCAGAUCUUCCCACGUGCUGCCCCCGUAGCUUGAGGAGGGGCCUGGACGGCGGGUCUGGGCCUCUUACUGGGUUGGACAGGCAUGGUAGUAGGUGCUGGCCUGCGGAGCGGGG
rnacentral:lncRNA from 1 species